rnacentral:rRNA from 1 species
AAUAGAUACCCUGGUAGUCCACCCGUAAACGUUGGGAACUAGUUGUGGGGACCAUUCCACGGUUUCCGUGACGCAGCUAACGCAUUAAGUUCCCCGCCUGGGGAGUACGGCCGCAAGGCUAAAACUCAAAGGAAUUGACGGGGACCCGCACAAGCGGCGGAGCAUGCGGAUUAAUUCGAUGCAACGCGAAGAACCUUACCAAGGCUUGACAUAUACGAGAACGGGCCAGAAAUGGUCAACUCUUUGGACACUCGUAAACAGGUGGUGCAUGGUUGUCGUCAGCUCGUGUCGUGAGAUGUUGGGUUAAGUCCCGCAACGAGCGCAACCCUCGUUCUAUGUUGCCAGCACGUAAUGGUGGGAACUCAUGGGAUACUGCCGGGGUCAACUCGGAGGAAGGUGGGGAUGACGUCAAAUCAUCAUGCCCCUUAUGUCUUGGGCUUCACGCAUGCUACAAUGGCCGGUACAAAGGGCUGCAAUCCGUAAGUGAGCGAAUCCCAAAAGCCGGUCCAGUUCGGAUUGAGGUCUGCAACUCGACCUCA